rnacentral:rRNA from 1 species
CCUACGGGUGGCAGCAGUGGGGAAUAUUGCACAAUGGGCGCAAGCCUGAUGCAGCCAUGCCGCGUGUGUGAAGAAGGCCUUCGGGUUGUAAAGCACUUUCAGCGGGGAGGAAGGCGUUAAGGUUAAUAACCUUGUCGAUUGACGUUACCCGCAGAAGAAGCACCGGCUAACUCCGUGCCAGCAGCCGCGGUAAUACGGAGGGUGCAAGCGUUAAUCGGAAUUACUGGGCGUAAAGCGCACGCAGGCGGUCUGUCAAGUCGGAUGUGAAAUCCCCGGGCUCAACCUGGGAACUGCAUUCGAAACUGGCAGGCUAGAGUCUUGUAGAGGGGGGUAGAAUUCCAGGUGUAGCGGGGAAAUGCGUAGAGAUCUGGAGGAAUACCGGUGGCGAAGGCGGCCCCCUGGACAAAGACUGACGCUCAGGUGCGAAAGCGUGGGGAGCAAACAGGAUUAGAUACCCUAGUAGUC